AACUUUCAACAACGGAUCUCUUGGUUCCGGCAUCGAUGAAGAACGCAGCGAAAUGCGAUAAUUAAUGUGAAUUGCAGAAUUCAGUGAAUCAUCGAGUCUUUGAACGCACAUUGCGCCCCCUGGUAUUCCGGGGGGCAUGCCUGUCCGAGCGUC
rnacentral:rRNA from 1 species